AGGACGGGGUCCAUGAAGUCGGAAUCCGCUAAGGAGUGUGUAACAACUCACCUGCCGAAUGAACUAGCCCUGAAAAUGGAUGACGCUUAAGCGGGUUGCCGACACCAGACCGUUUCGAUAAGAAGCGAUCGAAAUGAGUAGGAGGGCGUGGCGGUUUUGUUGUGAAGGAUGAGACGCAAGUCUAUCUGAAACGGCCGCUAGUGCAGAUCUUGGUGGUAGUAGCAAAUAUUCAAGCGAGAUCCUUGAAGGGCGAAGCGGGGAAGGGUUCCACGCGAACAUUGAUUGGGCGUGGGUGAGUCGUUCCUAAGCCGGGUGGUAAUCGUUCUUCMGAUCGGCGAAAGGGAAGCGGGUUAAAAUUCUCGCACACGGAUGUGGAGGCGGUGACGCAAAUUGAGGUGGAGACGUYAGCGGUGGCACUGGGCAGAGUUUUYUUUUCUGUUUAACCUGUGAGUGCACUCUGUGGAAUCCRAUUAUCGGGCGAAANCAGGUGCUUAUGGGAAGAGCGUCGGGGCGUCCC
rnacentral:rRNA from 1 species